rnacentral:misc_RNA from 1 species
GAUGAAGAACGUAGCGAAAUGCGAUAAGUAAUGUGAAUUGCAGAAUUCAGUGAAUCAUCGAAUCUUUGAACGCACAUUGCGCCCAUUAGUAUUCUAGUGGGCAUGCCUGUUCGAGCGUCAUUUCAACACUUAAGCCUAGCUUAGUGUUGGGAAUCUGCUGUAUUGCAGUUCCUCAAAUACAACGGCGGAUCUGUAACAUCCUCUGAGCGUAGUAAAUUUUUAUCUCGCUUUUGUUAGGUGUUGCAGCUCUCAGCCGCUAAACCCCCCAAUUUUUGUGGUUGACCUCGGAUCAGGUAGGAAUACCCGCUGAACUUAAGCAUAUCAAUAAGCGGAGGA